UACAGAGGUCUCAAGCGUUGUUCGGAUUCAUUGGCGUAAGGUGUGUAGUGGCGCCGUAAGUCGGUGUGAAUCUCGGGCUUACUCGAACUGCAUCGAUACUGCGUGCUUGAGACUGAGAGAGACUGAUCAUGUGUAGCAGUGAAUGCGUAGAGAUCAUGAGAGACAGUGCGAGCGUCUCUGGACAGUCUGACACUGAGACACGAGCAGGAGCACGG
rnacentral:rRNA from 1 species